rnacentral:rRNA from 1 species
GACCUAUCAGCUUUCGACGGUAGUGUAUUGGACUACCGUGGCAGUGACGGGUAACGGGGAAUUAGGGUUCGAUUCCGGAGAGGGAGCCUGAGAAACGGCUACCACAUCUAAGGAAGGCAGCAGGCGCGCAAAUUACCCAAUCCUGACUCAGGGAGGUAGUGACAAGAAAUAACAACACUGGAAAUUUUAUUUCUAGUGAUUGGAAUGAUGGGAAUUUAAACCCCUUUCAGAGUAACAAUUGGAGGGCAAGUCUGGUGCCAGCAGCCGCGGUAAUUCCAGCUCCAAUAGCGUAUAUCAAAGUUGUUGCAGUUAAAAAGCUCGUAGUUGGAUGUCUGCUGGAAGCAAUCAGUCCGCCCUAUUUGUAGGGUGUGCACUUGAUGAAUUCUGGCAUUUUUGUCCCAAUGAUAUAUAACGGGACGGUAUUAUUGGGCGCAAGCCCAAUAUAUGCUGUUCCGAUUGUUGGGAUACUGUUACUUUGAGAAAAUUAGAGUGUUUGAAGCAGGCUAAUUGCCUUGAAUACUGCAGC